UGGGGAAUAUUGGACAAUGGGGGGAACCCUGAUCCAGCCAUGCCGCGUGUGUGAAGAAGGUCUUCGGAUUGUAAAGCACUUUAAGUUGGGAGGAAGGGCAGUAAGCGAAUACCUUGCUGUUUUGACGUUACCGACAGAAUAAGCACCGGCUAACUCUGUGCCAGCAGCCGCGGUAAUACAGAGGGUGCAAGCGUUAAUCGGAAUUACUGGGCGUAAAGCGCGCGUAGGUGGUUCGUUAAGUUGAAUGUGAAAGCCCCGGGCUCAACCUGGGAACUGCAUCCAAAACUGGCGAGCUAGAGUAGGGCAGAGGGUGGUGGAAUGUCCUGUGUAGCGGUGAAAUGCGUAGAUAUAGGAAGGAACACCAGUGGCGAAGGCGACCACCUGGGCUCAUACUGACACUGAGGUGCGAAAGCGUGGGGAGCAAACAGG
rnacentral:rRNA from 1 species